GCCGGUGUAGCUCAGCGGCAGAGCAGCGGCCUUUUAAGCCGAGGGUCCGGGGUUCGAAUCCCCGCGCCGGCACCU
rnacentral:tRNA from 1 species